UGGUCUAGUGGUAUGAUUCUCGCUUUGGGUGCGAGAGGUCCCGGGUUCGAAUCCCCGACGACC
rnacentral:tRNA from 1 species